GACGAACGCUGGCGGCGUGCUUAACACAUGCAAGUCGAACGGAAAGGCGCUGAUUUUGUUGGGUGCUCGAUUGGCGAACGGGUGAGUAACACGUGAGUAAACUGCACUUGUCUUUGGGAUAACUUCAGGAAACUGGGGCUCAUACCCGAUAGGAGCUACUGCUGCAUGGUGGGGGAUGGAAAGUUUCGGCUGUUGGGGAUGGACUAGCGGCUUAUCCGCUUGUUGGUGGGGUAGUGGCUUACCAAGGCUUUGACGGGUAGCCGGCAUGAGAGGGUGACCAGCCACAUUGGGACUGAGAUACGGACCAGACUGCUACGGGAGGCAGCAGUGGGGAAUAUUGCACAGUGGGCGGAAGCCUGAUGCAGAAACGCCGCGUGCGUGAUGACGUCCUUCGGGUUGUAAACCGCUUUCGCCUGAGACGAAGCGUGAGUGACGGUAAUGGGUAAAGAAGCACCGGCUAACUACGUG
rnacentral:rRNA from 1 species